AUACGGAGGGUGCAAGCGUUAAUCGGAAUUACUGGGCGUAAAGCGUACGUAGGCGGUUAUUUAAGUCAGAUGUGAAAGCCGGGCUUAACUUGGGAACUGCAUUUGAAACUGGGUAACUAGAGUUUAGUAGAGGGGAGUGGAAUUUCAGGUGUAGCGGUGAAAUGCGUAGAGAUCUGAAGGAACACCAGUGGCGAAGGCGACUCCCUGGACUAAAACUGACGCUGAGGUACGAAAGCGUGGGUAGCAAACAGGAUUAGAAACCCUAGUAGUCC
rnacentral:rRNA from 1 species